GGAAGUACGUAGUGAGGAAAUUUUGUGAUAAGCCAUUGGCCAUCACAGAUCAGAUGAGCAAUGGUAUUACGGUGGGUGGCCUGACAGGAUCUCUUACCGCGCCCUCAAUGAUUUGGUCAGCAGCCCUACAUACUCAAGACAACAUGGCGGGAAAGCUUGUGGUGACAGCUGUGCUUGGAUGGUCUGGAUGCGUCGCCCGAACGAAUUUGUAAGCUAAUCAGACCAUGUCUGACGUCAUAGCUUCAGUCUAAAGAACGACAAACUCGCUGAUGCAGAAAACUGAAUGAUUUAAAUAUUAAUUUAUAUAUUAGAUUACAUAGCCAUGCAUGACCACAAUUUGAAAACUUUGUGAAAUAGAUUUUUUUAAAGUAUCUGGCUUAGGUGAACCGAGCCACCAAAUUUUGAUGAAUUCGGAAGUCUAAUAAAUAAAGAUGGAAAAGAAGCACCUAUAAGCUCUCUUCCCACUUGUCUUCGUAUACUAUUUGAAACAUCUAAUAGUACCGGCAUUUCAUAGUUAAUAUCAUCUAUAGUCUUGAGGUUUGAAAUAUUAGUUUGAAGAUUUUUUAAUCAAGAUGAUGAGAAAAGAGGACAUUUCAGCCACA